UAUGUAAUUUAUAAACAUGAAAUAGAUAUGGAUGUUAGGUAAUACCGGAUGUUAAAUUAAUAUAUAAAUAUUUAACUUAAUACGUACAUUAUUAUUUUAUUAAUUUAUCGUCACACGUCAUUUACCAGUUGCCUAAUUACGAAAAGUUUCAUAUGAUAUUAACCUCAAAAUGAUCUUUGAAAACAAACAACAACAAAUAACUCAAAGAAAUAACUACAUACUACAUAAUAAUAACUGAUAAUAAUGACUUUUAAUGGUAUAAAGGCUGAUGAAGUUUUAGACAACCAAUACAAGAUUCAGAACUCGGCAUCGCGAUAAACAAGUAAAAUUGUACAUUCAGGAACUCGUUUAAAUAUUAUAGGUUGAUUGAAGAAUAAUCUACAAUUGAUUAGAGCCUAUGACGAUGCGAAGAUAAUUAAUCACCUAACUUUAAGAAACCAGCCUAAAGAAGUUUACAUGCAUCUCAUCUAACCAUUAUAGGUAAUAAUUUACAAAAUUAGUCAUUUUUGAUUAUAAUAUUAUGGUACUUAGGUACAUUUUAUCUUCUAGAUCAGUAGUGAUUUUUCAUAAUUUGAAUGAACUCACAGAUAGCAAUGGGGCAC